CUCUAUUGACACAUAAUGCAGCUGUUUUUGGACUGAUAACAGCGAAAAUGACAAAAUGAUUCCUGAUCUGCGUCCUGCCUCCAUCCCUCUCCCACUCAGCCCAAACCUGCACUGACUCUACACAACUAUUCCUGGCUCCCUGGAUUUUUUUAGCUCAGCUACUCACUCAUACGGAACUGCCUGUCCACCUGCCUCACCCUGCCUUGCUCCUCGAUACGUCCCUUUUGGCAGCCAACAUAAACAAACAGAGAAACAGUUUAGUCCCACAUGGCUGUUGAGACAAUAUCUCACCUGGUGGGAGAUUCUGCAACAUUAAAA